rnacentral:rRNA from 1 species
GAUGAACGCUGGCGGCGUGCCUAAUACAUGCAAGUCGAGCGAACAGACGAGGAGCUUACUCCUCUGACGUUAGCGGCGGACGGGUGAGUAACACGUGGAUAACCUACCUAUAAGACUGGGAUAACUUCGGGAAACCGGAGCUAAUACCGGAUAACAUGUUGAACCGCAUGGUUCAACAGUGAAAGACGGUCUUGCUGUCACUUAUAGAUGGAUCCGCGUCGCAUUAGCUAGUUGGUAAGGUAACGGCUUACCAAGGCAACGAUGCGUAGCCGACCUGAGAGGGUGAUCGGCCAGACUGGAACUGAGACACGGUCCAGACUCCUACGGGAGGCAGCAGUAGGGAAUCUUCCGCAAUGGGCGAAAGCCUGACGGAGCAACGCCGCGUGAGUGAAGAAGGUCUUCGGAUCGUAAAACUCUGUUAUUAGGGAAGAACAAAUGUGUAAGUAACUAUGCACGUCUUGACGGUACCUAAUCAGAAAGCCACGGCUAACUACGUG